AUCCAUCCUUGAUUUCCUUUCCGUACAGUCAAAUCAAACGUGGUAAUCGUGGAGGAAUCUUUUGGCUCCGUCAGUAGGUGGCUAAAAUCAAGUUGUCCCACAGCCGCCAGAUGGCGCGAGUGUCUUUGAGAGGACGAAAUUUUCGCCAUUUUGUUCCGAAACGCCAAGUGGAAAGGUACUCCAAAUUCGUUACGGAAUUGCGGUGUCGAUCUACAUUUUCAGCAUUGCAAUUUAAUGGCAAUUCUGGCAUAUAAUUUCCACUAGGCCAAAUAAUCGAUCACGUGGACUGCUUUCCAUUUUGCCGAAAUGUCGUCCGUUGUUAGCUGUACAUGUUCGGAUGUACGUCUCAUCUCAAGCAGAAACACUUCAGAGGUUGGAGAUCCUGUUGCUUAACUGUUGCAGAAUGUGAGAACUCAUGAAUUCUGAGCUCCAUGGCUGGCACAUGGCCACAGUGGUUUUGUUGCAGCCAGCUGUUGAAGACGUGAUGAAGGCAAGUUUAGCUGCAGCUGCAGCAUGCAGUUUAUCGAGCUGGUGUUAUCCUGAAGUGUCAUUGUAGGAAGACUUUUUUAAAUGGACUUGGUGAUACUUAAGCUAUGCCUGUGCUGUUCAAUGUGCAGUGGUUUUGCAGCUUGUUUCAAGUUGAGAGAAGUGAUUAAGCAGCUGUUACAGGAUUGAAGAAAAAGAACUGAAGUAGCUGUGCUGGUGUCUUGAAAUUGCUGUGUCCAACGAGUUGCAGAUAGUGUUUGGUACCUCAUAGAAGUUUAGUUAAAGAGUCUGGAGAUGAUCAGCCACUUCUGCCUAUAACUUAUGUAAAACUUCAAAAUUGUAAGAAAUAUACAAUUCAAAUGUUAAA